UACGGGGGGAGCAAGCGUUGUUCGGAUUUACUGGGCGUAAAGGGCGCGUAGGCGGCACAGCAAGUCGGGAGUGAAAGCCCGGGGCUCAACCCCGGAAUGGCUUUCGAAACUGCUGAGCUAGAGUACAGAAGGGGCAACCGGAAUUCCCAGUGUAGCGGUGAAAUGCGUAGAUAUUGGGAAGAACACCUGAGGCGAAGGCGGGUUGCUGGGCUGAUACUGACGCUGAGGCGCGAAAGCCAGGGGAGGCAAACGGG
rnacentral:rRNA from 1 species